AUUGAACGCUGGCGGCAGGCUUAACACAUGCAAGUCGAGCGGGGGAAGGUAGCUUGCUACCGGACCUAGCGGCGGACGGGUGAGUAAUGCUUAGGAGUCUGCCUAUUAGUGGGGGACAACAUCUCGAAAGGGAUGCUAAUACCGCAUACGUCCUACGGGAGAAAGCAGGGGAUCUUCGGACCUUGCGCUAAUAGAUGAGCCUAAGUCGGAUUAGCUAGUUGGUGGGGUAAAGGCCUACCAAGGCGACGAUCUGUAGCGGGUCUGAGAGGAUGAUCCGCCACACUGGGACUGAGACACGGCCCAGACUCCUACGGGAGGCAGCAGUGGGGAAUAUUGGACAAUGGGGGAAACCCUGACCCAGCCAUGCCGCGUGUGUGAAGAAGGCCUUAUGGUUGUAAAGCACUUUAAGCGAGGAGGAGGCUACUCUAGUUAAUGCCUAGGGAUAGUGGACGUUACUCGCAGAAUAAGCACCGGCUAACUCUGUGCCAGCAGCCGCGGUAACAC
rnacentral:rRNA from 1 species